rnacentral:lncRNA from 1 species
UAAUCAUUUAACAUAAACAUUUUAUAUAUAAACUUCAAUUCAUGUGCUUUAUCAGUAUCGUUUAUAGUUUUAUUUUUAAUAUUUUAGUGUUUAUUUUAUUUUUACAAAACACUGGAAGAGUAUUUCCAAAAAAAAUUUCAAAUGUUAAUACUUUCCUUGGAAUAGAACAAAAAAAAUUGUUUACCACUUCGCAAAUACUUUAAAUAUAUCUUAUCACAUAAUCUAUAUUGUCCUUUAUAUAAUAUGUCCUUAGUACUCCUCCAUUUUAAAUAUUCUUUAUUUCUUAACUUCGUUUUUUAUUUUCCUUGUUAUAACGGACUUCAAAUAAAUAGAUUUCAUACUCUUUAUUGGUACGGUGGAUCGGACGGACGAUUGAGACGACAGGCGUGAGCCUAACGCGGUUGUUUCGUCAGACGCGUAAGUACGGCAAAGUGAGAGUUGCUCGGACACCAACAGAACUACUACGGCUUCUGUGAACCUGGGAUCUUUAUUGAGAGAGAGAAUUACAAAUUACGGAAACAUUUUCUCCGUGUGAGGACAAAUACCUUAAUAUAUUGAUGUACAAAUCAAGUUCGUUAAGUAUCUUUUCCUUUCUCACUAUAUCCACAGAGUCUUUAGUCCAAUACAAUCUGGUGGUACAGUCUUUAGUCUCUAUAUGAUGAAAACAGACAUACCGGUAUGUUGGUUUCCUACUUCUUAUAUUCACUAAAUAAAAUUCACUUUAAGUUGUCUGCUGAGGUACAGGUUUCAGACGUAUUUCGUUAACGUGAGUCGUCUGCCGAAGUGAAGGUUUUAGAUUAUGGGACAAUGGCACUAACUCUCUCCCUCUUAAUAGGUUUACUAUCCGAUUACUUCGACGGUUUCUUAACCGUCGAACCGUCGUUUGCGAAUAUAUUUGUUUUUCCCCGACUGACUAAUUUUCUGAAUUCUUGGCCAAUAUCUUUCUCCUCUCCUUUCCCCUGGGGGAGAAAGAUUUUUCCCAAUUACAUCGAUGGAUUUUUCCCAGUUGCAUUCCGUAGCUUUCGUCUUUACACCACCUGCGCGUUACUCGAUCCUUUUUCCCAACAUCGUACUUUUCUUUGAUAAUUCUCAGAUUGUCUAUUUGAAUUGGGAACAGAGGUGAAUGGAGGACCUCGAUCUCGUAAAGAUGACAUUUAAACGAGCACUCAUCACUCAAAAGUGUCGUUUCUUUGAUCGAGUCGCGAUGAAGUGUAGAGUGACAUUUCACAUAGGGUCCGUAAUUCGUAACCUCGCAACGUUCCCAGCUUCGAAUAAUAGGCUUACAAUGACAGAUUUAUCUCUUCACUUCUCACGAUUCUCAUCGUUAAAUCAUUUUCAAGAUAGCUUAACAAGCCACGUUAUAACAUUCCAAACAUACAAGAUUUUGUGUAAAUCUAAAGAGAGUUUUCUAUUGCAUAUAUGUAUUUUUAUACCAAUUUUGGCAAUGAAGGUCGGUGGAGAUCUCACACUACCUUCGACUUUCUCUAAAAUUUUCACUGCUUGUUGAAAGAAAUGAAAAUUUUAUUACAUUCAAAUUAUAAAGAAAUGAAAAUAAUAUUUACCCUCCUCACCGAUUGUCUUAUACAAUAUACCGUUAAAAUCUCUCUCUCAAUAAGUGUACGCGCGGAGAUGUUUUAACUACCCAACCGCGUAAGCGAAGGUGGUUGUGUAACGAAUAAAACUAAAUAGACGAGAUGUACAGUCGGUUGCAAAAAGUUUUGUACCUACCUCGUAGGGGCUAAGCUCACCGGAG